UACGUAGGGCGCAAGCGUUGUCCGGAAUUAUUGGGCGUAAAGAGCUCGUAGGCGGUUUGUCGCGUCUGCUGUGAAAACGCGAGGCUUAACCUCGCGCCUGCAGUGGGUACGGGCAGACUAGAGUGUGGUAGGGGAGACUGGAAUUCCUGGUGUAGCGGUGGAAUGCGCAGAUAUCAGGAGGAACACCGAUGGCGAAGGCAGGUCUCUGGGUCAUUACUGACACUGAGAAGCGAAAGCAUGGGGAGCGAACAGG
rnacentral:rRNA from 1 species